AGCGAACGCUGGCGGCAGGCUUAACACAUGCAAGUCGAACGGGCACUUCGGUGCUAGUGGCAGACGGGUGAGUAACACGUGGGAACGUACCUUUCGGUUCGGAAUAAUUCAGGGAAACUUGGACUAAUACCGGAUACGCCCUUUUGGGGAAAGAUUUAUCGCCGAUAGAUCGGCCCGCGUCUGAUUAGCUAGUUGGUGAGGUAAAGGCUCACCAAGGCGACGAUCAGUAGCUGGUCUGAGAGGAUGAUCAGCCACAUUGGGACUGAGACACGGCCCAAACUCCUACGGGAGGCAGCAGUGGGGAAUAUUGGACAAUGGGCGCAAGCUUGAUCCAGCCAUGCCGCGUGAGUGAUGAAGGCCUUAGGGUUGUAAAGCUCUUUUGUCCGGGAAGAUAAUGACUGUACCGGAAGAAUAAGCCCCGGCUAACUUCGUGCCAGCCGCCGCCGUAAAAC
rnacentral:rRNA from 1 species